rnacentral:rRNA from 1 species
UACGCAGGGUGCAAGCGUUACUCGGAAUUACUGGGCGUAAAGCGUGCGUAGGUGGUGAGUUAAGUCUGUCGUGAAAGCCCCGGGCUCAACCUGGGAAUGGCGAUGGAUACUGGCUCGCUAGAGUGCGGUAGAGGAGAGUGGAAUUCUCGGUGUAGAGGUGAAAUUCGUAGAUAUCGAGAGGAACACCGGUGGCGAAGGCGGCGAUCUGGACGAUGACUGACGCUGAGACGCGAAAGCGUGGGGAGCAAACAGG